AGCCGAAACGGGCAGCGCCGAAAGGCGUUGUCCGUCCGCGGGAGAUGAUCUACCCGCGCUGAUGAUGGCAGAUCGGG
rnacentral:hammerhead_ribozyme from 1 species